GUUGGAAGCAAGGACAGGGAUAGGAAGAGCUUCUAAACACUUGCAGGCAGGAGCAGUGGAACAGAAAGAAAUAUUACAUGAGUGACAUGACUUUACUUUUGUGAAGAGCAACUAAUGACUAGGAAGAGCAUGUGCAUUCAAACUUGUUAAUUCAUUGAUUUGAGUUGAAGGGAGGGGGACAUGCUUGGUGGAAAAGUUAAAGUGCUCCGGGUGAGAAAUUCACAGGGCAAAGAUGUUAAUAGCAAUGGGGAAAAAAAUAACGCUUCUCCAGUGCUAGGCAAACGGCCAUAUCCAUCAGGAGUAAAGAAAACGAGUAAGUUCCCACACAUGGCUGCCUUUAUCUCUUUCAUUUGAAUAAGUUAUUGAAUUUACUAUGUGCAAGGUUGUUUGCAAAACAUCUCACACACAUUCCCUUAUUUAAUUCUCAUAAAAAUCUAAAAUUUAUAUAUUUAAGCCUCCCAACUACCCAGCGAGAGAGUUAAUAAUAUGCUCCUUCCACAGGGAGAAAAGUGAAGCUCAGAGAGUUUAUUUACCUAAAGUUUUAUAGGGAGGAAAUCAUUUCUUGUAACCAUCUGUGUCAGCUAGGUCUUCCAGGAAGCAGGUGAGGAGACCGAGUGAAGAACACAAACAGUUGAUUCAGGUGAAAAGCCUGUUAAAGAAAAAAGGGAGAAUCAGCAGCUUGGACAGAUAAAGCCUUUGGGCCAUGAUAUUAAUCUGAUACUUGUGAAAAACAAACAAAAAAGGU